CUUUAUUCUCUUUUGGUUUUAUUCAUGGGUUGAUUUCAGGCAGUUGCUACCCUAGGGACUUAUGACAUAGCAUUAGAGCUGGGAAAGAAGGUGAUAUGUCAGAGGAACUGUGGAACCUGCAAUGGUUGGCAGGCAUUGCGGUGUACCAUGUGUAGAGGAUCAGGGAGGGUGCACUACCAA